rnacentral:ncRNA from 22 species
AUAUGAUACAGUGAGCAGGCGACGGCCGAAAUGAGAAUCGUCGCCGGGCUGCCGAAAGGCGGCAGCAGACUGUGUGACAGCACAUCUGCGGGACAGUU